rnacentral:rRNA from 1 species
GCGAGUGAAGCGGCAACAGCUCAAAUUUGAAAGCUGGCUUAGGCCCGCAUUGUAAUUUGCAGAGGAUGCUUCUGGCGAGGUGCCUUCCGAGUUCCCUGGAACGGGACGCCAUAGAGGGUGAGAGCCCCGUAUGGAUGGACACCAAACCUGUGUGAAGCUCCUUCAACGAGUCGAGUAGUUUGGGAAUGCUGCUCUAAAUGGGAGGUAAAUCUCUUCUAAAGCUAAAUAUUGGCCAGAGACCGAUAGCGCACAAGUAGAGUGAUCGAAAGAUGAAAAGCACCUUGAAAAGGGGGUUAAACAGUACGUGAAAUUGUUGAAAGGGAAGCGCUUGUGACCAGACUUGCGCCGGGCAGCUCAUCAGGGGUUCUCCCCUGUGCACUCUGCCCGGCUCAGGCCAGCAUCGGUUCUCGUGGGAGGAUAAGAACGGUAGGAACGUGGCCCCCCUCCGGGGGGGUGUUAUAGCCUGCCGUACGAUACUCCCGUGGGGACCGAGGUUCGCGCUCCGCAAGGAUGCUGGC